rnacentral:sRNA from 1 species
AUGUGCCACUCGUACACUGCGGUUCUGACCGCGCCGUCCGCGCCCACCUGACAGCG